UACGAAGGGUGCAAGCGUUACUCGGAAUUACUGGGCGUAAAGCGUGCGUAGGUGGUUUGUUAAGUCUGAUGUGAAAGCCCUGGGCUCAACCUGGGAAUUGCAUUGGAUACUGGCAGGCUAGAGUGCGGUAGAGGGUAGUGGAAUUCCCGGUGUAGCAGUGAAGUGCGUAGAGAUCGGGAGGAACAUCCGUGGCGAAGGCGACUACCUGGACCAGCACUGACACUGAGGCACGAAAGCGUGGGGAGCAAACAGG
rnacentral:rRNA from 1 species